ACGUAGGGCGCAAGCGUUAUCCGGAUUUAUUGGGCGUAAAGAGCUCGUAGGCGGUUUGUCGCGUCUAUCGUGAAAGUCCGAGGCCCAACCUCGGAUCUGCGGUGGGUACGGGCAGACUAGAGUGAUGUAGGGGAGACUGGAAUUCAUGGUGUAGCAGUGAAAUGCGUAGAGAUCAUGAGGAAGACCAGUGGCGAAGGCGGGUCUCUGGACCAUAACUGACGCUGAGGCACGAAAGCUAGGGGAGCAAACAGGA
rnacentral:rRNA from 1 species